AUGUGGAUUUACCAUCUUUUCUCACGUGUCACCAUUGUCUGGAUUGUUUUAUCGUCAUUGCUUCAUCCAACGACCUCGCUGUUUCUGUAUACAGCGACUGAACUUUACCGGCUGCGGUGCUACUCUGCUGAGCCUCCGCCUUCACUCUACCCCGACCAGGAUAUUGUUCAUAGUCCCCAUCCCAAAUACAUCCAUCGCGGGUCUCAUCGGGGUUUUAGGUACGAUGACUCGAAGGAUAUAAGAUCAUUCUGGACCUCGACUCCUCGAGCAGCAAGGAAAACUCGGCGGACUAUUGACCAGAGCGCGCUAACUAGCGUAUCCAGAUCGACCAGCUCUUCAUUCGGUGGAAAUGAGCUCAAAGUCGGACUCCUCAACAUCCGUUCACUUUCCAACAAGGGUCUUCUUAUCAGCGACAUUAUUGACAAUAGUAAGUUUGAUUUCUUCUGCUUGGUUGAGACCUGGCAGCAGGAGAAUGACUUCCUUGAGUUGAAUCAUGCAUGUCCUCCUGGGUUUGUUUACAUUUCGCAACCUCGUAUUUCCAGACGCGGGGGAGGCCUCGCGAUACUUCACAACUCGAUUUAUAAAACGUCCCCGCUGUCUGUACAAAACUAUGUUUCUUUUGAAUCGGCUGCACUACUCAUCAGCGGUCCAACACCCACAGUUUUAGCUGUUAUUUACCGGCCUCCGAAAUAUUGCAAUACUUUUAUAAGUGAAUUUUGUGCAUUUUUAACCCAUUUGUGUACCUUAUCACCCAAUCUUAUUCUCCUGGGUGAUUUUAACAUUCAUAUGGAUACGGCCAGUAACCUACUCACAAAGGAUUUCAAUUCUUGCUUAGACAGUUUUGGUCUCCAACAAUAUGUGAAUUUUCCAACUCACUCUAAAGGCCACACUUUGGACCUCAUCUGCUGCUCAGGUGUCACACCACGGUACUGUACUGCAGAUGUAAUACCCAUAUCUGAUCAUAAAUUGCUUUCCUUUAAUGUUGAUGUUACACUCUCUAAAUCCAAACAACAACGUUUGAUGUCAUUUCGGAAUAUAAAAAAGAUCAAUCCUUCUGUUCUGACUGACGCAAUUGCUGAUUUUCCACCCAGUGACCACCUCACUUCUCCUGACAAUCUGGUCUCCUUUUAUAACUUUGAACUACAGCAGGUCCUUGAUACUCUUGCACCUCUUAAAACUCGGACUGUAUCAUUCACCCAUUCUGCGCCCUGGUUCACUCCUGAACUUCGCCAGCUCAAAACCAGAGGGCGGCGUUUGGAACGUCUUUACAAACGAACUGGUCUUAUGAUACAUAGAGAACUGUAUAGUGAACAUGUUCAUCUUUACAAAGAUGCUCUUUAUGCUGCCAAAAAUGUUUUCUAUUCACAUUUAAUUGAGUCUGGAGAUGGUAAUACUAAAGCACUGUAUUCAACUGUUAAUCGUAUUCUGAAACCUCCUGAUACACUUCCUGCACACCUGUACUGCACUGCUCAAUGUGAUAAAUUUAUGUCUUUCUUCAAUGACAAAAUAACUACCAUCCACCAACAAUUGGCCUUUUUGGCUACCCCUUACUGUAGUUCGUCACACAGUGCCUCAAAUAAUUUGCCCCUCCUCUUUCUUUCUUCUUUCAACUUGCCAUCUGAAGAAAAAAUUUCUCAGUUAAUUUAUAAAUCUAAUUCUUCCACAUGUCUGCUUGAUCCUAUACCAACUCAUUUGGUAAAGGCCUCUUUUCCCUCUUUAUCUUCUCUUAUAACUCGUAUUAUUCACACUUCUCUCAGCUCCGGCAUUGUUCCAUCAUCUUUUAAAAUAGCUGCCAUAACCCCUGUUCUUAAGAAACUUGGCGCAGACCCAAACAAUUUAGAUAAUUACCGUCCUAUCUCAAAUCUUCCAUUUAUUUCAAAAAUUCUUGAAAAAGCAGUGGCAGCACAGGUUCAUGCUCAUCUUAGUAAUAAUAACUUGUAUGAGUGUUUUCAGUCAGGGUUUCGUCCUAAGCAUAGCACUGAAACUGCACUAGUGAGAGUAACGAAUGACCUGUUAAUGGCUGCUGAUGGCGGGUUGUUAUCUAUUCUUGUUCUACUUGACUUGAGUGCAGCUUUUGACACAAUUUCA
ensembl:lncRNA